AGUGGCGAACGGGUGAGUAAUGCAUCGGAACGUAUCCCGUAGUGGGGGACAACGCCGCGAAAGCGGCGCUAAUACCGCAUAUGCUCUACGGAGGAAAGUGGGGGACCGCAAGGCCUCACGCUAUGGGAGCGGCCGAUGUCCGAUUAGCUAGUUGGUGGGGUAAUGGCCCACCAAGGCGACGAUCGGUAGCUGGUCUGAGAGGAUGAUCAGCCACACUGGGACUGAGACACGGCCCAUACUCCUACGGGAGGCAGCAGUGGGGAAUCUUGGACAAUGGGGGCAACCCUGAUCCAGCCAUGCCGCGUGCGGGAAGAAGGCCUUCGGGUUGUAAACCGCUUUUAGUCGGGAAGAAAAGGCACGUCCUAAUACGACGUGUUCUUGACGGUACCGGCGGAAUAAGCACCGGCUAACUACGUGCCAGCAGCCGCGGUAAUACGUAGGGUGCGAGCGUUAAUCGGAAUUACUGGGCGUAAAGCGUGCGCAGGCGGUUCGUUAAGUCUGAUGUGAAAGCCCCGGGCUCAACCUGGGAAUGGCAUUGGAAACUGGCGAGCUGGAGUGCGGCAGAGGGGGGUGGAAUUCCGCGUGUAGCAGUGAAAUGCGUAGAGAUGCGGAGGAACACCGAUGGCGAAGGCAGCCCCCUGGGCCGACACUGACGCUCAGGCACGAAAGCGUGGGGAGCAAACAGGAUUAGAUACCCUGG
rnacentral:rRNA from 1 species